rnacentral:rRNA from 1 species
GAUGAACGCUGGCGGCGUGCUUAACACAUGCAAGUCGAACGAUGAAGCCCAGCUUGCUGGGUGGAUUAGUGGCGAACGGGUGAGUAACACGUGAGUAACCUGCCCUUAACUCUGGGAUAAGCCUGGGAAACUGGGUCUAAUACCGGAUAGGAGCGUCCACCGCAUGGUGGGUGUUGGAGAGAUUUAUCGGUUUUGGAUGGACUCGCGGCUUAUCAGCUUGUUGGUGAGGUAAUGGCUCACCAAGGCGACGACGGGUAGCCGGCCUGAGAGGGUGACCGGCCACACUGGGACUGAGACACGGCCCAGACUCCUACGGGAGGCAGCAGUGGGGAAUAUUGCACAAUGGGCGCAAGCCUGAUGCAGCGACGCCGCGUGAGGGAUGACGGCCUUCGGGUUGUAAACCUCUUUCAGUAGGGAAGAAGCGAAAGUGACGGUACCUGCAGAAGAAGCACCGGCUAACUACGUG